rnacentral:lncRNA from 1 species
AAAUUUCAUAAAUUUGAAUGACUAAAUUAACUGGUGCAAUUACAACAAGAAAAAUAACAACGAAGUCAUGUGAUAUUGAAAAUGAAAAAUGAGAUUAUGAUGAUAUAAAUACUUGAGAAUUUGGCAGCAUGUUGGGAGAAUCAAGCAAUGCAGUAGGACUAAUUCCAGGAGGUAUUGUUAGUCGUGGAGAUCGAACUGAAGGAGAAGUUACUAUCAUAGUUAUAAAUAAAAGAUUG